AACGCACCUUGCGCUCCUUGGUAUUCCGAGGAGCAUGCCUGUUUGAGUGUCAUUAAAUUCUCAACCUCACCAAUUUUGUUAUGAAAUUGUGUGUAGGCUUGGAUGUGGGGGUUGCAGGUCCACUUUGUGGUCUGCUCCUCUGAAAUGUAUUAGUGGGUUUGGCCCCUAAUCUAUUGGUGUGAUAAUUAUCUACGCCGUGGAUUGGAUGGCUAUUUUAGACCUGCUUAUAACCGUCCUUCACAGGACAACUCUUGACAUUUUUGACCUCAAAUCAGGUAAGACUACCCGCUGAACUUAA
rnacentral:misc_RNA from 1 species